rnacentral:rRNA from 1 species
UACGGAGGGUGCAAGCGUUGUCCGGAAUCACUGGGCGUAAAGGGCGCGUAGGCGGCUCAUGAAGGCUGUGGUGAAAGUCCGGGGCUCAACCUCGGAUCGGCCGUGGCGACUCGUGGGCUGGAGCACUGUAGAGGCGGGUGGAAUUCCGGGUGUAGCGGUGGGAUGCGUAGAGAUCCGGAAGAACACCAGUGGCGAAGGCGGCCCGCUGGGCAGUGGCUGACGCUGAGGCGCGGCAGCGUGGGGAGCAAACAGG